rnacentral:tRNA from 1 species
GGUUGUGGCUCAGUGGUAGAGCCCUUGCCUAGAAUUAGCAUAUGUGAGGCUCUGGGUUCAAUCCUCAACACCA